UAUAUCUCAACUGCUAUGGGGUGAUCAACUGCUAGUGUCUCAACUGCUAUAUUUGGCUCUUCUGCUAUGGAUGGAGUUAAGGUGCCUAACUUCUCGCUCAUGAGACCCCAUAAAAGGUGUUGGUUGAUAUUGACAGCAGGACGGUGGCCAUGGAAGUCGGUACCCGCUAAGGAGUGUGUAACAACUCACCUGCCGAAUCAACUAGCCCUGAAAAUGGAUGGCGCUUAAGCGAGAGACCUAUACUCCACCGUUGCGACAUGUGCGUUGUCUAGCGCCAGGUCGUAACGAGUAGGAUGGUCGUGGCGGGUUGCGUUGAAAGGCUAUGAGCGUGAGCUCGGCUGGAGCUUCCGUCAGUG
rnacentral:ncRNA from 1 species